UACGGGGGGGGCAAGCGUUGUUCGGAAUUACUGGGCGUAAAGGGCUCGUAGGCGGCCAACUAAGUCAGACGUGAAAUCCCCAGGCUCAACCUGGGAACUGCGUCUGAUACUGGAUGGCUUGAAUCCGGGAGAGGGAGGUAGAAUUCCACGUGUAGCGGUGAAAUGCGUAGAUAUGUGGAGGAAUACCGGUGGCGAAGGCGGCCUCCUGGUUCAAUACUGACGCUGAGGUGCGAAAGCGUGGGGAGCAAACAGG
rnacentral:rRNA from 1 species